CAGCAGGCUGCACUAUAUUGGCAUGUAAUUUUUCUUAGAAUGUAAAUUUCCGACUUAAAAAUGCAUUUAUUUCCAAAAACAAUACUCCAACGACUUCUAACGGUAGGCGGAUUUUUAGCUAAUAACAUAUUUCACUUCGUUUGUGCAUAAUCGAAACAUCAAAUCGAAGAACAUUUUAAAUUGUUAAAAACUAUACAAAACUGAUGGACUCUGAAAUAGUUAAGAAGGAUUUGUUGGCUGCUGCAGGUGAUAAAAUUGAAUUCAGCACAUAAAAAUACUUUGUUAAUGUUUGAACAUUUUAAGGAAAUUUUUAUUCCAGCAACAUUUUACAUAGAAAAGUCAUAUUAUAUCAAUUAUGUGUAUGAUAAGGUUUCAACGUCCACCCAUUGUAUUUAUGAUGCAAAAAUUAAAUAAAUGAAUGUUUAAGAAAGACAUGAUGGCUGCAGCAGGUGUUCAUAUUGAAUUGAAACAAACUUGCAUCUCAUU